GGCCCUGUAGCUCAGAUGGAUAGAGCAGCGGUUUCCUAAACCGCUUGUCGGCAGUUCGAAUCUGCCCAGGGCCUCCA
rnacentral:tRNA from 1 species